rnacentral:lncRNA from 1 species
GGGUUCUUAGUCCUAGCUGUAACUUGAGGUUCGAAACAUAUCCCUUUGUUGAAGCCGGAGUGGAGUUUCCACCACCCCCGUCACCCUCGGGCGAUCGGCAAAAAGAAGGUACGACAAUUUUCCUUCCACUGUCACUUCUUCCAACCACCUGUUAGCACAGCUUCACUUUGGAGGCACUAUAUUAGCCUAUCACUCUUGUUGAAUCGAGAAAAUCUGAUUCUGCCCUUAUAUAAUUAGAAGAGGAACCAAACAAAUCAAAAAGGACGCCAGUACUUGUUGCAAGUUUAUCAGUGAUAUUUGGGGUAGCUGUGGUUUCUAUCUCAGGUUUCUUAAUCUGGAAGAGGAGAAACAAUCAAGGUAUGCAGUGGCAAACAUUACAAAUUUGUUUUGUAUUGUUAUAUUGAUCACUUUCUUACUUUCUUCUUUUAUUAAUUUCAGAUACAGAGUACAGAGAAAUUCAAUUACUUGACUUGGUAGAGGGAAGAAUUGAUAUGUGAGAAUCAAGUUUGUAACGUUAGGUAUAAUUAAUAAAUGAAUUCUUUCGGGGAACACUAGCGGAUGGUAAACAACUGCAGUUAAAAGGCUAUCAAGAACCUCCGAUCAAAAGCUUGUUGAGUUCAAAAAUGAAAUCAUGUGCUUUUUUCCUUCUUUUUUUCCCUACUAAGCUACAAUUUUAGGUAUGGAAGCUCUUAUCUGAAUACAGCUAAUAGAUAAGUUCCUUACUCCGUCGAGUGUAAUUUUUGAGGUGCUUAAAUGCAUUUUGGGUUAUUGUACAUGCAAGAAAAUCUGCUACUCAGUCUAAUCAAAUCAUCUCUUAUUGUCAUGUUCGCAACCGAUACCGUAAAACUUUCUCGUGCAAUUAAACCAACAUCCUUUUUGGGCAUAUCAUUGCGGAAUCAAUCAAACACAUUUCAAAUGAUGAAUUUUUUUAUUAUUAUUAAAAAUUUUCACCUCGCUGAUUUGAUCACUAUUUUAAUUUUAAGAUUAUAUAUUUGAAUGUAAAAAUUAGUAUAAAGCCGAUAACUAAUCAAUUUAUGAAUAUUAUUUUUAAUGUGUGGAAGCACCUUAAUUAGUAAACAAAGUUCAAACUUGCAUCAAAUUAUACUCCCAAAAAUAUACAAAAUUUAGCUACCCUUUCUUCUUUCAAUCCGCUCUGCUGGACUUGUAUUAGGGAUGAGCAAAACUUGAUUUAAUUUGAAAAAAUAAAAAAAUUUCAAAUUUCGAAUUAAUCGAAUCGAGUUAUUCGAGUUAUUCAAUUUUUUUGAGUCAAGUUAAAUAAGUAGUUUGAGUUUCAAGUUCAAGUCGAGUUGAAUUUUAUAAUUCGAAUAACUAGAAUAAUUUAAUAACAUUUUGGUAUAACUGCUCCUUUAGUCCCCGUCAAGUUUAAAAAUGAGCAAAUCAGUCUCUCUCUUAACAAAAAUUACAAAAAUUUCAAAAUAAUUUUUAAAAUUCAAAACAUUUAUAAAAAUUUCAAACUUUAUAUUUUUUUAAAGAAUUGUAAAAAAAAUUUGUAAAAAAAUUCUAAAUAAUAUAUAAAGAAAGUUACAAUUUUGAAAUUUUCUAAAAUAAUAAUUUUAGGGACUUAAAUAAUUUAAUUAAUCAUUCAAGUUUAUCAUAGUAAAAUAUCUUUUCUUUUUUCUUUUUUUUCUUUAAAUUUUUUUAAAUAUAUACAGUUUCAAAUUUACGUGCUCAAACAUGAUAUUAGUUAUAUUGUAAUAAUAUUUUAAUUUGACAUGAUUAAUUUUUUAAUUUAGCUCGAACAAUUUCACUCGAUUUGACUCGACCUAAAUUUCAUUUCACGCGACUCGAUUUAAAAAAAUUCAAAUCAUAUUAAGAUGAUAAAAUAGGACUUCUCAACUUGAUUAACUCAAAAUUUUUUCACUUCAUUUGAUUGAACCUUCUUCCUUAUUUACGUCGCAAUUAGAAAACAUAUAGUAGCAAGGAAGAGUUCAAUUUUUAUACGAAAAAUAAAAUUUCAAAAAGUUACAUGUGCUUUUUUUAUAAAUAUACUCUAAAAAGGGUUAAUCUAAAUUAUAAAAUCUAAAAAUUUAUUUGAUAAUGGAUCCAAUAAUGAAUAAUUUCUCUACCACCGAAUUGAACAUUGCAUUUCAGUUUUAAAAUCUAUUCUAAUCAAAGAAACCAAAUUAACUUGACUUUGAAGAAAUCAAGCCAAGUCCUACACCAUAAAUAGGCAGUCUGAUAAUUGGGUAUAUAUGCACUAAAGAUAACCAAGAAAAAUGAGACACGUUCCUACCAUGUCCUUUCAAAAUGUCUUUAAAUUCUACCCGUAUAUUUUUCCACAACUUGCAUCGCCAUUUUAUGAGAGAUCCAUCAAUUACAGACAAAAACAUAAAGGAACCCAAAGGCCAAGUCUUAUAAACUUGUCGUUAUUAGCUGUACCAGAAAAAACAACCUUGUUUGUCUAAUACAAUUCCAACUUGCAUGUUUUGUAUCCUCAUAUUCUAAUUUCUGUAGAGGAUUUUUUAUGGAAAAAAGGAAUUUUAUAAGUGAAACGGAAUGCAACAAAAGACGAUGAAAAGGAAGAUUAGAAUAGAUAUUUCAUAACAUAGAUGAUAGCUUAUAAGGUGGAGAAAAAUUACUAAGUGUGGCUGUAGGUACAAGGGUAAUAAAGUUGCACAUUAAAUAGGAGUAAUAAGAGGCAUUUUUACUAAUAAAGAAUUUAGGUCUUGUAUAAUAGUGAAUAAUCCAUUUUAAAAAAAAAAUGGAAGAUGUAUUUAAUGUUACAAGAAAAGGUUAACAUGUAACAUUUAACUAUUGAUAGAAGUUCUUGUGCUUUAAGUUUCUUUGUUGAAGAUAUAUGGAUUGACUUAUUACACCAACCUAAGUUCUCCAAAAUUUCAAAAUGGUAAAGAUAAUCGAAGAAUCUUAUCAUAUUCUUGUCGAGUAAUAUUUUAUCAUGUCUUAUUGAUAAGAGUGUUCGAGUAUUUAUACAUGUUGUUACAAAAGCUAUUACAGCUCAUGAUAGGGCCCCACUAUUUUAACUUGACUCAACUGCCUCUAGUACUGAUACUUUCUAUCCCUAGUACUGACAUUCUUUGUAAGCUCCAGGUUUGUUGGGCACGUGUCUAUGGAGCACACGAUCCUUUCUGUUCCUGGGACUAACAUUCUAGGCGGGCUCCGUACCUACUGGACUCGUGCCUAGGUGGCCUACGGAGCACACGGCCCUUUCUGCGAGCUCCCUAAGUCCUCGCGAGUUGGAUCUGUGGCCUUGCGUUACAAGAUGGGUCCUUGGCUUUGCCUUGCGAGUUGAGUUCACGAGCUCGUUCUGCGAGCAGGGUGAGCUAACUCCCCUUGCUAUCCUCUCGUGGCUCGCUUCGCACCCAAUCUUUUGGUGGGACCUAUCCGGGUCACAGGUAGGUGACCCAGAUCCUAUCUAGGACUCAGGUUGAUGAUCACCAAUGUAUAACAAUUCUAAUGUUAUUUUCAUAACUAUUUUAAUUAAGUAGUAUAAUGUGAAACAUUUUUUGCAUAUCAUCUCUUAGAACAUGAGUUGUUUUUGUAAAAGAUUUGUUCUUAAAUAAGGUUGUUUUCAAAUAAGAAUUGUUCUAAUAUAUUCUGAUCAUGAAUUUUCUCAAUUAAUUAUUAUUGACAGGUUGUUCCUAACAAUAGGUGUUUUGAAUAUAAUUAUUCUUAAAUUUCAAUUAUUCUAAAUAAGAGUUGUUUUAAAUAUUAAUUAUUCUUAACAAGAGCUAUUCUCAAACAAUUACUAUUAUAGGCAUCAACAGUUGUGAACAUAAUAGUUAUUCUAGAGCAACGGUUGAUUUGAGUGGUGAUUAUUCUAAACAAAAGUUACUCUUCAGAUAAAAAUAUUUAAAAAGAAAACAAUAGAAGUGAUUAGAAUAUAUUUAUCUCGAAGUUGAAUUUAUGUGAAUCAAACCUACUCAAACCUUAAACAACUUAAACUCAAUAUGACUCCAAUGAGUAACUUAAAAAUACUAAAAUCUCAACGAAUAAACCUAAAAUGAUCCGAACCCAUAUUAAUGAAAUCCAAAAUUAAUCCUAAACAAAUAAUUUAAAAUUUUUAACUGGAAGCAACAGAACCUGACAGAUCUACCUCAAAGUAAAACUCAUUUCAAAGUGAGACAAAUUAGAUUAUUACUUGCAGUCUUGCAUACUACAGUCCUUAUAUAUAUAUGUCAGAUGUUUUAGGUAAUCUGUGACAAUGGAGUUCUUUCACUGUCUUGGACGUAGAUGUAGCCAACUGCCACAUUGAAUAGUAUUUCACUUCCAUCCUCAUCUGGACCCAAACUCGUCAUCUUUGUAGACUAAGGCUUAGUUUGGAUAGGCGGUGUGUUUACCUCCAGUGAGGUUAAAAACAGCGGUGGCGGUGAGAUUAGUUACUGUAGCAGUGAGAUUGGAUAUUGUAGCGGUGAGAUUAAAAACAAUGGUGGAGUGUGUGUUUGGAUUCAAACGCAGCUAUAGCGGUGAGAUAAGAAUAAAAAAUGACUAUUAAUGACAUCAGAUUAGAAUUGAUAUAUAAUAGAAGUUUUUAAAUUAUUUUACUUUUUUAAAAUUAUUAAAAUAUGUGAAUUUAUAAAUUAAAUUAAUAAAAUAUUAAAAUGUAUCUUCCAAUAUUUUAAUGAAUUAUAUAAUUAAUUUAAAUUAUUUAUUAGACAAAAUGAUAAUUAUUUUUAAUUUUUUAAAGUUAAAUAUUUUUUAUAACAAUGAUAAAUAUUAUUUUCAUAAAUAGUAACAUUAUACUUAGAUCAAAUUUUGAAGUAUCUAAAUAGAUGAUUUUUAAUUAAAAAAAUAUAAUAACAUAAGACAUAACAAGUUUCAUUAUUACUAGAAAUUUUUAAUUAUAAAUAAUUUAAAAUAAUAAAUAAUUUUUAAUUUUUAAUUAUAAAAAAUACUUAUUAAAUUUAAUAUGAAGAUUGUAUAUAUUAAAUUAAUAAUAUUAUUUGAAAUUCUUAAAUAGAAAAUUAGAUGUAAAAGGAUAAAAGAAAAAGUAAAAAGCAUGGAUGAAAAGGUACUUUCCAUCUUUCAAAUGGAGUUGCAAAUUCUCACUGCAUGUAGAACCUCCAGUGGCGCCACUGAUACUACAGCAUGAUGAGAAGACUCCAGUGCGGCAAUGGGUAAAAUCCAAACACCAAUAUCAGUGCGAUUGAUUUCAAAAAAAUGGUCUAAACGCACUGAAACGGGAGAUUUUUUGUAUCCAAAGAUAGCCUAAGGCUCCCUUUGGUUUGGCUUUUACAGCCAAUGAGGUGCAGUUGGGGAGAAAAAAUGGUGCCAAUCUCACUGCUAUGCUGUUUGGUUCAGCAAGUCAGUGCAGUGAGAUUGCAUCUCCACCACACUGCUCAGCUGAAAAUCAGCUGGUGAUUUCAGCAGCAAUGAAGGUGCAGUGAGCUAUUGGUACUUUAACUCUCCAAAAAUACCCUUACUUUAACUCUCCAUAUCUUCCCUCCUCCUACCAUGCUUCUCCUUCUUCAAUUUGUGCAACCAGUUCACUUCACAAAGCUACAGGUAAGUCAUUCAUCUGCUGCUGCAACUUCUGCUGCUGCAACUUCUGCCAUUUUCAACCAUGUUUGGUUGUGGUUGUGGUAGUGGACUUUUGUGGACUUUUCAACCAUUUUCAACUUCUGCCACUACCAAUCUUCUGCAACUUAUGCCAUUUCUCUGUAACAAAGGUGCACCGGAAACUUGAAGAAGAUGAUAGAUGGAUAGAACAAGAGAUAUAUAAUCGAUAUAAUAGAUGGACAGAACAAGAUGAUAGAUGGACAGUGUUAGAAUUGUGUGACCCAAAUUCUAAGAGAUUGCUUGCAAGUCAAGUUAAACAAAAAUAUAUUUUCUUUCUAGAAGAUUUAGUAUUUAUUAGUAUAAUAUAUUUAGCAUUUAUUAGUAUAGUUUAUUUGACUUACUAAUUUAGCCUAUAAAUAGGCUCUUUUACAAUCUUAGAAAUGAGACACACCCAUUAGAUUAGAACUCAUAACACAUUCAGAGAAUUUUGUGUUUACGUUUUCGGGUUCUUUGUUUUUCGGAUUUUCGAGUUUAGUUUUUAUCUCCAUCUUUUGUACUCUUCAUUCUUUUGCCAUUAUAGUAAAAUUAUCUUUGCCCGUGGUUUUUUAUCCUCUUUGGAGGGGUUUUUCCACGUUAAAUUUGUGUGUUCAUCUUCUCAAUUUCUUCUGUUAUUUGUACUUGUUUGUUGCUUAAUCGGGACGAUCCUAACAGACAGAAACCUGAAGAAGAUGAUAGAUGAAGAUGAUAGAGGUGUUAACUUUGCAAUACAACUACAACAUUUCUAUGAUGGGUUGGAUGGACAGAACAAGCGACAAUUUGAUUUUAUAGCUAGAGGGAGUAUUUGGUUAAAAAUAGGAAGAUAAAUAAUCGAUAUAUUGGAAAAUGUCAGCAAGAAUGAGCUUACAUGGGGCAUAAACCAAGAGAUAUAAAACGCUAACCUAGCAGAAUGUACACUCCAAAAGUAAACAUCUUAUAACCUGGAAUUAGGAACAUUAGAUUUUGUUGAGCCUAAUAAAGAUGAACCAGAGGAGGAAAGUAUGAAUAAUGCAGAACAAGAGAAAAACGAGCUAGCCUUUCAACUUGACUGGUGGUGUAAAAGUAAAGAAUAUCCAAAACAGGUAAUUCCAACCAUAACUAAAAUGGUUCCUUUUAUUAUUAAAACACCUAAAUUGGAAUUGAAACCACUGCUUGAACACUUGAAGUAUGAGAUGUUUGGGAGAAAAGAACACCUUGCCAGUAAUUACAUACAAGGAGUAUGUAAAAAUAACUUUUUCAAAAAAUAUUAAUAAAUAAUUUAAAUUAAUUAUAUAAUUUAUUAAAAUAUUAGAAGAUAUAUUUCAAUAUUUUAUUAAAUGAAUUUAUAAAUUCACAUAUUUUAAUAAUUAAAAAAAAGUAAAAUAAUUUUAAAAACUUCUAUUAUAUAUCAAUUCUAAUAUGAUGUCUUUAAUAGCAAUUUCUUAUCCUCAACUCACCGCUACAGUGCGUUUGAAUCUAAACACACACUCUACCAUUGUUUCUAAUUUCAUCGCUACAGCAUCCAAUCUCACCGCUACAGUAAUUAAUCUCACUGCCACCGCUGUUUUUAACCUCACCGGAGCUAAACACACCGCCCAUCCAAACUAAGCCUAAAUCAUAUACGCAAACAAUCCAAAAAUCUAUUGACUUGACUCAUAUUUUUUAUUAAGGAUCAGAUAAUCUUCUACGAUGGACCAAAACUUUAUCCCUUACUAAAAGCACCCAUAUCAUAAAUUUCAUAAUAUAGCUGAGCUCUCUCGUCUUAUGAUCCAAACAAGGAGGUAAAGCCAAAAAAAAAAAGAAAUGCAGAGCUCCACAGUUUUCAUAACCCUGUGGCUGUUAUUAAUAGUCUUUUCCGUGCUUAGCCCUGAAACUGAAGCUCAGCCGCCCACUUAUCGCUACCACGUUUGUCCUAACACCACCACUUUCCUCAUAAAUAGCACUUACCAAGCCAACCGUGAUACCCUCUUAACUUCUCUAUCGUCUAAUGGCAGCCGUGGUAAUGGUUUCUACAACACAACUUCAGGCAGAAACCCCGACACGGUUUACGGUCUUUUCCUCUGCCGUGGGGAUCUUUCUACCAGCGUUUGUCAAGCGUGUGUCACCUUCGCCUCUACAGACAUUUCCCGACGUUGUCCUGUUGAAAUAGCAGCGGUGGUUUGGUACGACGAGUGCCUCCUACGAUACUCGGACGAAAAUAUAUUUUCCGCCGUGGCUGAAGAACCUGCAAUUGUAUUGUUUAAUACUAAGAAUGCAACUGGGACAGAAAUCCCUUUCGACCAGCUAGUGGCUGCCACAGUUGUUAUGAACAUGAACGAUAUAACAACCCAAACGGAAAAUAAACCCGCAGGUUCUAAAAAAUUUGCGACAAGAGAGACCAAACUUUCAAGUUUUCAAACACUGUACACGCUCGCCCAGUGUACACCGGACUUAUCAGGCAGUGGUUGCAGUAGAUGUCUGCAAGGAGCACGAGAAAAUCUUCCAAAUGGAUGGCAAGGCGGAAGAGUGUUGAGUCCUAGCUGCAACGUCAGAUAUGAAACUUACCCCUUCUAUAAUCUAGCGGCUGUUUCACCUCAACCUCCUCCAGCACCAGGUUUAUCCUCACUGUUAAUUGAUAAAUUUGAUUCUUUCCUUUUUCCUUUUUUAUAGUUCAUGAAAAAAAGAAAACAAGAUUCACUACAUUCUCUUUUCUUUUUUCUUUUUGGUCGGUAAUUUGUAAAUUAAUAUAUAGGUAAAGAACAAGCCCCUGUUUUCAUGAGGAUUAGAAUGAACUGAAUUGAGAAUAUCUAAUUCUGCUCUUAUUUAAUUAGAAGAAGAGAAACAAAACAAAUCAAACCGGAUUCCAGUACUUGUUGCAAGUUUAUCAGCAAUUUUUGGGCUGGCUGUGGUUUUUAUCUCUGCUUUCUUCAUCUGGAGGAGGAGAAACAGUAGAGGUACACAUCGGAGUGAUCUUUCUGGCAAGUAUUAUAACUUCUUUUUAUAUUCUUAUGCUGAUCAUAUUAUGAUUUUAUUACAGACGAAGAAAACAGCCAAGAAGUUCAAUUACUUGGCUUGGUAAAUGAGCACUCAAGGGAAACUUUUAACGGAGAAAAUGGGGAGAGAUCUCAGGAGUUUCCUUCUAUACGGUUGGAUGUUUUACAUGCAGCUACAAAUCACUUUUUUGAUGAAAAUAAGCUGGGACAGGGUGGAUUUGGUCCUGUAUACAAAGUUAUUAUAUAACUUGAAACUUUUAUGUGAGUUGGCUUUAGAACUGAUGUAUGCGAAUUAAGUAUGUGAAUACUCCUGCAUUUGAAUUUUGAUAUGCUAUGUAAAUGAAUGAAUUCUUCCAGGGAACAUUAGCAGAUGGUAAAGAAAUUGCAGUUAAAAGGCUGUCAGAAACUUCCAGUCAAGGGCUUGUUGAAUUCAAGAAUGAAAUCAUGUUAAUUGCUAAACUACAACAUAGAAAUCUUGUGAGGCUCUUAGGAUGUUGCUUAGAGAAAAAUGAGAAGUUGCUUGUAUAUGAAUUCAUGCCCAACAAAAGCCUGGACGUUUUCCUAUUCGGUUUGAUUCUUGAACCUUUAACUAAUAAGAAAAAAAACAUGAAACAAUUAAUGAAAAUGUACUCAUUUGUUUAUUUUUUAUUCUUUUUUUCCACAUUUAUAUCAGAUUCGAAAUUAGCUGCUCAACUGGAUUGGCAGAAACGAUUCAACAUUAUUAAAGGAAUUGCUCGAGGUAUUUUAUAUCUACAUGAAGAUUCUCGUCUAAAAAUUAUACAUAGAGACCUUAAAGCAAGUAAUGUUCUACUCGAUCAUGAGAUGAAUCCAAAAAUUUCUGAUUUUGGUAUGGCAAGAAUUUUUGAAGAUAAAAACGAAGCAAAUACCAAUAGAGUCGUUGGAACAUAGUAAGUAUGCAUAUUUUCAUGACACAUUCCUUUACAGUGAGAGGCUUAUGGGAAUAUUUUUAUUUAAUUAUUUUCUUUGUUUAUAAAAUUUUCUAUGAUAUCAUCUAAUUUUAUUUUAAUAAAUUGUCUCUUUAUUUCUUAUGAAUUAAAAUAGUGGAUAUAUGGCACCAGAAUAUGCUAUGGAAGGACUCUUUUCUAUCAAAUCUGAUGUUUUCAGUUUUGGAGUCCUUUUGUUGGAGAUUAUUAGUGGACAAAAGAACAAUGGUUUUCAUCAUUUAGAGCAUGGUGAAAGCUUGUUGACUUUUGUAUGUUCUUUAUCCUCCCUUUUGUCCUCAAACUAUAGAUUAAAUGUUUUAACCAUUCUACGAAUAAUUUUAAGCUACAAUUGUAGGCAUGGAAAUUAUGGUCCAAGGGCGAAGGAAUGGAGCUAAUAGAUCAGGUCCUUGUUCCUUCAUGUGUGGCUUUUGAGGUGCUUAAAUGCAUUCAUAUCGGGCUAUUAUGUGUGCAAGAAGACCCGGCAGAUAGACCAACCAUGUCAUCUGUGAUUUUCAUGUUGGCAAGUGAUAGUACCAUAACACUUCUUUGUCCAUCUGAACCAGCAUUUUCCGUUGGGCGUGCAAUUACAAAACCAGCUGAACCUAUUUCAGAUGAUGGAGUCUUUUCGGUUAAUGAGGUCACAAUUUCAAAUUUCUCACCUCGCUAAUUUGAUUGUUGUACUAACAAUACUAGUUUAUCAAAAAACUUUCAUUUUUAUUUCCCAGUCUAAAUUAACAACUAUGAAUACUAAAGCCAUGAUUUGUAAGAACUUGAACCUGAAACUAUAUAUACAUAUAUUUGAAUUUUAAAUUGAGUAUCAAGUUGGUGAUAAAUCAAUUUAAGAAUAUUAAUUUUUUACUCAAAAUUUUUAAUGUAUCGUGUCGAAACCACUUUUUGAAACAAAAAUUUAGUUGUCCGACUUUGAAAAUGAAAAUGGGAGUCGCCACCGAUCAUUUAUUGAGGUGUGAUCGGCUCACCUUGAAAAUGAUUUUGGUCUGCAAAUUUUGAGAAAACAGGUUCGGGAGUCGAUUACGCACGAGGAAAUGUUAGCACCCUCGUAACGCCCAAAAUUGGUACCUAAUUGAUUGUUUAAUGUCUUAGUGUCGAAAAUUUGAAAAGAUUUUAAAAUACGAUUCUUUUAACUUGAAUAAAUUGAAUAAUAAAACACUCUUAUUUCAAAUAAAUAAAAUGUCACACCCAGUGAGUUAGGGCGCAGCAUUUUUAAUCUUUUGACUUUUAAAACUCAUGCAUGUUGAGAAGGAUAUUUGGUUGUUUGGGUCAAAUAAAAAAUCAAAAUCCAGUAAGUUAGGGUUCAAUUUCCCAAAAUUCCUAAAUACCGCAUAUUGCUUUUAUUUUUAGAAGAAUCCUCAUCUCGAGAAAACAACAUGUCAUAUCCAAUGCGUUAGAACACAACGUAUCGAAUUCCCGAGAAUGAGCUUUUUUUAUUUAUGUGUUUUGAUUAAAGCAUAUCCUCGAUUAUUUAGAUUCAACGAGGAAAAUUAGAACCCAAUACAUUAGGGCUCAAUCUUCUCGAAGAUCCCAAAUGGCGAGUAUUACGUUAUCAUGAAAGUUUUGAAUAAAAUGAUUUUAAUAUUUAAAUGAAACAUAAUCUUAAAAUACAUGCAAAUGAACUCGAAUAAUCUAUCAACACAAACGAAAUGAUAUAAUGUACACGAUAUUACAUAAAAAAAAUUAAAAAGAAGUAAUAACUAACGUGAAGAUUUGAAAUAUUUAAAAAUAAAACUUGAGAUGAAUACUACAUGAAAUAAUAUUUAAAUGAAUUUUAAAAUGAAUAUUGCAUGAAAAGAAAACCAAAAUACGUGAAACGAUAUAUACACGUUAAUUUAGAUAAAUGUUACAUAUGGAUUGGAAGAUUUCCUACAAUGAUAUAUGUAUAUUAAUAUGUAUAAAAAAAUUGAUGUAAAUCAAGUAUAUAAUAGGAUAAUGUUUUAAAUGAAGCAAAUUAUGUAUGUAAUAAGUAGAGGAUAUGUAAAUGUGAAAUCGAUGAUAUGUUAAUAAUCAAAGAUAAUUUAAUACAAAUUAUAAAUUUAUAUAUGUAUUAAAAUAACAUUAUAUAAAAACAUUAUUGGUUUUUAAAGCAUAAAAAUAUGCAUACAUAAAAAUUUUAGAGCAGAUAUAUUAUAAAAAUAAAUCAUAAAAAAUAUCUGGAUAAUAUUAGAUUAACAUAGAAAUAUAUAUAUAUAUUAGAUAAGAAAAGAAUUAAAAUAACUUUGUAUAAUAAAAUAAAAUAUUGUACAUAUGUAGAAAUAAAUAAACAUGUAAACUAACAUAAUAGUAAUACCAAUAAUAAUAACAGUAACUAAGAAACUUAAAUAAUUUUAUAGCGACAAUAACAAAACAAAGGACUUAAUUGACAUUAAAACAGUAAUUCAGAGAGGAAAUCUAAAAUAAAUAAAAGGUUGGGACCAAAUUACAAAGCACGAAUAACAUGGGGGAUCAGAAUAAGAAAUAUCCUGUCUCCCAAAACGCUUCAUAGCAUAAUGGACCCAGAUGAAAUCAACAACAAAUUGUGUUGCUCAAAAUUAAAGAAAUUCAAAAGACCGAAUUGAAAUACAACACAAAAUGAGGACUUGGUUCCCAAUUACCCCUCCCCACACCAAACACGCGGAUCUAGCCGCAGUUGGACCGAGUCAUCAGGUAUAGCUCAAUACGACACCGUUUUGGUGCCAUCGAAGCAAGGCACAAACGGUGCCGUUUCAAUAAUAUGUAUUAAACAAAGAAAACUAAACCUAAGCAACCCUAAAGCCAUCCCUUCUGCGCCGCAUCAAAAAUCGAAAGCCCCCCAUCCAUUCAACUCCAAUCCGAACGGAGGGAUUCGGUGACGCACCAACCCCAAGUAUGAGUUCUUCCUUUUCUUUUCUAUUUUUCGUAUCAAAGAAAGAAAGAAGAAAAAAAAAGUGCAGUAGAAAGACGUAAAAAAAUGGUAAAUCACCUUCUUUGAUUUUUUUUAUUCAGUAUGUCUGUAUUCCAUCGUAAAAAAGGAGACCCUCAGUACAUCAAGAAAUCAGGCUUUUAUAGCCUAAAAAAAUGAAAAAAAACUCUAUUUUCUAUUUUCUUUUUCCCUUUCUUUUUUUCUGUUAUCUUUCCCUUUUUCUGUUAUUUGCUUUUCUUUGUUGUUGCUUGUGUGCGUUCGUUGCAAGUACAGCUGGCCUGGAGAAGACACGCGUGGAGGAGUCGGAGACUACUGGCACACGCGCGGACGAACCUAGUUUCCUAGUGCGGCUGCUGGAGCUGAAAGCUGUUGAAGGCUAGGGUUUCAAUUUGAAUCGGGCCAUGUAAACUGGGUUAGAGUAUUUUGGGCUCGGGUUUGAUGUAAUUUGGGUUAUCAGGCUUACAGCGUGUUUGGUUCGCCGUAUUACCCAAUCCAUUACGCCCCGAUUACGCGCGUAUUACAUUACGCCCCUAAUCCGGCGUUUGGUUCGCUGUAUUAGCCAUUACGCGCGUAUUACAUUACGCCCCUAAUCCCCAAAUUCCCGUGUUUUACAAUCCGUUCCCAAAUCGUUGUAUUAGCCAUUACGCCCGGCCUCCCUCCCCAUCUCUCUGUUUUACCCUCCCUCCCUACCCGACCCUCUCCUCUUCCGUCCUAAUCAUUUUCUCCUCCCAUUUCCCACUGAUUCCGUUGAUUAAUCUGUCGUCAUCGUUUCUUCUCGUCUCGGCAUCAAAUUUCCCUUCCCCAUUUCCUCCCAACACUAUCUGCUCCGCACACCAAAACCCUCUCUUUUUCUCUUCAAUAUAUUCACAAAAUUGGAAAUUCUAGCAGCAGCAGCAGCCAAAACAGUAACCAGCAGCAGCCCCUCUUUCUUCUCUUUCUUUCGAUUUCACACUUCUCAUAAAUGGAACAUUUCAAUCAGAAAAUGGAAAAGAGAAAUCAGUUGCAUGAGAAGGAAAAUUACUAAGGUUGUUGGUUUGCAUAUUUAACUGGGUUAAUCUUAGAAAUCUUGAGGGAGAAAACUUGUGACAUAAUGCAGACUAUUAGUUAGAACAGGAACUAUGUUUGGUGAUACCCUCUGAGAGUAGUAAUUUUUGGUAAUAGAGAGGAUGGUUAAGCAGUACAACUUUCGAUUAUGACUGCAGGAGGGUCUGACUAGGACAUUCAUUAAACAUUGGCUUAGGACUAAUAACUAUUUGUGUGCAAGAAGGUAGAAAUAUUUGUUAGUAAGACUUCUUAAAAAUUGGAUGUAGGGUUAAUAGUAUUAAGAAAACUGUAUUAGUUGUAUGUUUGGUGCCGCCCUGGUCUGUGAAUGGUGAUUUGCUCUUUAGGUGGGGAUUUUGAUGAUUACCUGAUUUUGGUUUAUGCCUGUUUUUGCAAGCAGCAUUUUGGCAUCUAUGUUGAAGCUAGUAGCCAAAAGAAUGGAGGUUUUAUGCUUGGUAGCAGUUUUGAGUAGUAUUGAAAAUUUUAGAAAGGGACAAAGAUAAACACAUACACACACAUCGUGUAGGUGCAAACCUAAGAAGAAGAAUGAAGUUCCUCUAGCAAGUAUCUUAGCCAAAUAAGUCCACAGAAGAAUGAGCCAUAGCUGUGUAGCCUUAUUUGGUACUUGGUCUUGCAACAAGGGCCUUCUUCUUAAUCUUCCAUGAUAAAGAUAGUUGUAGAGAUAUCUAUCAAUAUCUUGAGGGUGGCAGUGAGUGUUAUACAAUUGAUGACUAUUUAGGUUGAUCUGAUGUAUUUGAGAAGUAUGUCGUAAAUAAAAGUAAUAUGCUAUGUUUACAACUGAUGGGAAAUUUUGAAGUUCAGUGAUGUAAUGAGGUCGGAAAUUUCCAUGUCAAGAUAACCAUGUAGCAUUUCCAACUUUUUCUAUAACGUAUCAGCAACUAGGGCUGUUAUUCUUUUAUUUUAGUCAUAACCUUGGUGUUUGUUAUGGUCAUUGUAAUGUCAUUGCAAAGGCCGAUGCAUAAUUUGGCUCCUUUUAGAGUUUCUGAUUGUACCGGAUGCACAUCUGCCUUUGGAACCUCGAGUCAAAAUAAAAUGUUAUGAUCUUUUCUUGCCCUAGAUUAUUGAAACCUGUCCGGAUAACAUGAUUAACACCUACUUUUUAGAUGCUUUAAGCUUGAACAUGCUUUAUUGUUCUUUCAUAAAACCGCAAAUUUGUUGCUCAUGUCUCAGCAAUAGAUAUGAAAAAAUUUGGGACUUGUUUAUGUGUAAUUUCUUUUUCCUUUGAAAACUGUAAGUAUAACUCUUAAAAUUGCUUCUGUACCUCUAUGUUUGAAUCAUUGAAAUUGCAUUUGCUAAUUUUUGAACUCAUUGAUAUUCUCUUCAGUGGCUCUCUAAAAACAUUGGUAAGAAGGUGGAUAAGUCAGCUCUCUCUAAUGGAUCUGCAAUGACAGGUACACCGUUUAUUGUUCCAGGUUACUAUUAAUACUCAUCGGGCUAAUUUUUGUUUUCAUUUGUGCAGAUAAGAGUACAUCAGCACCAUCAGGUGUUCCGACUGCUUCUCUUAAAGUCCUUCGUCCAGAUACAUCUCAGAUGGUGAUUUAUGAUCCAAGGCAGCAUCAUGGUACAAGCUUUUGCUUGAGUAAAAAUAUAUGCCUGUGAUUUUUUCAAUGGUAUUCUAUUUUUUUAGCAACUUCAUUGGGCCACGAAUGGAUGGAGUAUCUCAUUUUGUCAUCUUGUUUAAUUAUGGUGUUGACUUGUUCAUAUACAUUGGUCAUUAGCAGUAUUGAACUUGAAACUAAAGAUAUCCUUUGCGUAGACUUAUGCAGUCAUUUAUGCAUGAAAUAGGCAUAUGAUUCUGUAGAAAAAUUAGACCUCAUUGCCUCAAUAAUCAUGUGGUUGUUUCCAAUAGUUUUUUAGUUUCCUUUGCUACUUUAGGUUGUUGUCUUUGUUUUAAUUAAAGUCUUAUCUAUUUGCUUUGGUCAUUAGCGAGAUUGCAAUAGAAGCUUUCAAGAAGUCCUUUUUAGAGAAUUAUGUGGUCAUCUGUGUAUGAAUAUUCAAGCACUGCUUUGAUGUGAUUAACAAAUUUACUCUUCUGAUUCUUUCUAGUGAACAUCUGAUGUAAUUUGACUUGGAAAUGAAAUUAACCAAAACUAUUGUUAUUCAUGUAAGUGAUACGGGAAAUGAGAGCAAUUAAAAUGCUCCGUAGGUUUUGUUUGUCUGAUCGAGCUCUUCAUUCUUAGGUGAGGUCAUAUGGCUGAUUCUGGGAUUUAUCUUAUUAGAUGGUCUUUGAUGCACACUGGUGAAUACGAAAGAUUAUGAGAUGUGCAUGCGCCCGAGUAAUUUAUAAAUCAAGCCUAAAUCAUUGAUCUAUAAAUAGCAAAGCAGUUUUACUUAAAACUGUCAUAUAUGUCCAGGAAUAUGCCUAUUCAUCUUUGUAUAACUACCGUCGUGAAUCUUGGAAAUGGCAAACCAAAUAUGAGUAUUAAGAGAAAAGAAAUAUAAAAUGUAUUAGAAUGGUAAACGAUAAAGAGAAAAGCUCAAGUUAGCCAAAGGGCCAGGCAUUGAAAAGGAAAAGGAACCAUAGAGAUUCUCCAAUUUUCAAAGUCAAGGGUGUUGGCUUAGAACGGGUCAAACAUAAACAUGUAUCUCCUAUGCUACUAUUAUGCGUUUAGAAGUGGUGACCCCUAACUAGCUUAUAACUUUGUUGAAAACAGUAUUGUAUUAACUUCAAGAGAAAUGAUGCUGGGUGAUCGUGUGGUGCAGUGUAGUUAUAUUUCCGUUUUCAAUAUAUUAACUUCAAUAGAAACGGUGCUGGUUGAUCAUGUGAUGCGGUGCAGUUAUACUCCUUGGUGUAACUUUUAAGGAAUUAUAGCGGUUAGGAUUUUACGUUGUUUCUUUUUUCCAUUCCCUUUUUUGUGUAAUUUCCUCAUCGAGAUAGAAGAGGGAAGGUUUUGAGAGAGGCUGGGGUCGGAUGUUUAAAAUCUAUAUCUGAUAUGUACAACAAAUUAUUUUAUUUUGCUGUUCUUUUGGGCUUGAUAAUGGCUUUAAAGGUCACCAGCUUUUAGCAGUUCUGCUCAUUUACCUUCCGGCAAUUGACAUGACUUAGAGUGGCAAAUGUUAUGCUUUUACCUCUUAUAACAUUGAAUUGUAUGCUUGUUGAAUCAUAUUGAAAUGCUAGAUACUUAACUGACUAAACUUGUUUGAAUGUAGGAACUACAGUUCCAUCAAACACCACUACUGCAAUUCUUGCUGCUCCCAAUUUGUCGAAUCCCAUGGCUACAGUUGUUGGUGCUGCUUCAAACCCAUUAACCUAUAAUUUGUAGUUGAAUUUGAAUUAUGAUCCAAAAUGCAACAUAUCAAUGAUGAAAUACGGCGAUGCAUCUGCUUGAAUUUCUCUGUCUAGUUGGCCUUUUAAGUCCCUUCUGAUUUGGUAUCCUUGGAAAAUUAUUUGUUUUGCACUCUUGGCAUUUUAAUAUCAUAUUAGAAUAACUAGUUUAUAACUUUGGAGUAAUGAUUCAUUGUAAUUUUACCCAUUUUUAUAUAUUUCUUUAAUUUUUUAGUUCAUCACAAGGUUCAUGCCAUAGGGGCAAAGCUAAAAUCAAAAAAUAAAAAAGAACCUCAUUGAGGAAGAAAAUUCAGAGAAUAAGGUAAGAAAACCAAAAAAUAUAGCAACUGAGAGAAUAUACAGAGCUAUGUUUCUCCGACUCUUCAUUUUGCUUGAAGUAUCCCUUUUUUAUACCCCUGUCAGAGUAUUCAUUUUUCUUAAAGUAUUUGGUUUCAACACCCAUGCCCGACGAUGAAAGAACCUCUUUGAGAAAGUUAUACAAUAGAUUUAUUAUAUAAAUUAUUUUAAAUUAUAUAAAUUCAUAUAAGAAAAUUUAUUAUCAAUAAUUUUAUGAAAUUAUAUCUUAUUAAAUUAUAUGUAAUAAUAAUUAUUUUAAAUUAUACAAAUUCAUAUAAGAUAAUUUAUUAGUUAUAAUUAUUUUAAAUUUUAUUAAAUCAUAUAUUUUAUUUAAAAUAUAUUUAAUAUUAAUCAUUUCAAAUUAUCUUUUAUAGUAUCAUAUAUUAUGAUUUGAGUAAAUUCAUAUAAGAAUAUUAAUUAUUAAGAAUUUUAUUAAAUUAUAUAUUUUAAUUAUAAUAUAUUUAAUAUAUUUAAUAAUUAUUAUGUUUAAAUAUGAUUAAAUUAUUUAUUUUUGAUAAUAAAUAAUCUUAUUAAAAUUUAAAUAGCAAUAACAAUAAUCAUUUACCAAAACAAAUUUAUGCUAAGGGUAUUCUGGUCAUUUUAGUUUUCUCCAUUAUGCUAUUACACCUCUAUUACAUUCAACCAAACACAGUUUUACUAUUACGCCUCUAUUCCAUUACAUUCAACCAAACAGUUGAUUUGCUAUUACACCUCUAUUCCAUUACACCUCUAAUCCAAUACACCUCUAAUCCAAUACACCUCUAAUCCAAUACAGCGAACCAAACGUGACGUUAAUGUAUUUAGGUAAUUUAGGUUGGGUUAAUUGGGCUAUCAGUUUGUAAUUUGGGCCUGGUGUUGGUUAAUGUAAUUAGGUAAGGGGUUAACAAUCAGAUUUGUGAUAUUGGGGCUUAGUGGUCUGAUGUAUUUUGGGUUUGGGUAAAUUAAUUGGGCCUACUGUUGUAAUAAACUGGACAUUUAUUUGGUUUAUUUUAUUUCAUUUUAAUUUGGUGUUUAUUUAUCUAUGAUUUUAGACCCAGGCUAAAAUUGGGUAUUACAUAUCGAAGCACCUAAGAAAGUUGAAAAUUAUAUGGAUUUAUACUUUCUAAAGCAUAUAUAAUUUAGCUACUCUUUGCUAUUUGCAUAAGGAAACAAACAUAUAGCAGGGAAGAGUGUGAUUUUUAUACUCUUGUAAUGAUAAAGGAGUUGCAAUAAUUUAUUUCAUUAGUUUACACUUAAUCUGGAAUUCAAUUUCAAUAAAAGAAUCCAGUUAACUUCCAAAGACUAGUCUUGCAUCUAGAAAUUAAGAGUUUGGAUACGUGUUACCUUGUGCAAAGUGUCGCUACUUUGUGCAAGUUUCUCGUAUGCUCAGUUCAGAUUAAUUCAAAUUAUAUGGAAAAUUAUAACUGUGUUUGACAAAAAUACAAAUUUGUAUGGCUUAUGUUACUCCGACAACAAUAUGAUAUUUCAUUGCUCGAACCCGACGAUUUGAUGAGGAAAUAAAGGGUUACAUUUAGUAAUAUCAGUAACCAAGUCAAUGGAAUGCUUUCACUGUCCCUGACAUGGUCAUGUAGCCAACUGCCACCUUGAAUAUUAUUUUUUGUUCACUUCUGCCCCAUCCAUUCAUUGGGAAGCCCUAAACAAAAUACAGCAAGAAUAGUUCAACAUGCGUAAAUUAAUGUUUUUAGUCAUAUUGACAAAGAAUUGACUAACUUGUGUAGCUUCCUCGAACAGAAGCUGCUUUAUCAUCUUCAUCUUGUGAGAACGGGUCAACAAAAUACAGCCACCUUCGACAAUUGAACUUUUAAUUUGUAAGUGAAUUCCUUAAAGAAACAUGCAACGGAAAUUUCAAGAACAAUAUUGUUUCAGUUCUUGUUUUCAGGUUUAACAUUUACAUACCUCGUUACUCUCACCAUUUCCUUCGACCCUUAUUUCCAGCGUUAUUGGGGAACAUCAUCGGCAACUACACCGCCAAUAGUGCCUACGAGCGUGACCUGAAUAGCAUCUUCAAGGAGAUCACCUCUACAACAAAAUCCAAUUAUCGGUUUUACAGCAACAAGGUCGGCGAAGUCAACGCCAUGGCACUUUGCAGAGCAGAUGUUAAGGUAGAUGUUUGCACUAGUUGUUUAUAGGAAAAUAUCUAAUUAUUAUUAAAAAAAAAGUUAACAAUUCAAAUCUAAUUAUUUUGAACUUGAAUUGACACAUAGAAUAGAUUUAAACUCAAAAUGACUCAAACAAAUCAUUUCAAAUUACUAAAGUCUAAAAAGAUCAAAACUCGAUCCAAAUUUAUAAUGACGAACUUAAAAGGCUAGUACUUCAACCAUAAAUAAUUCAAAAUCCUAAAUUAAUCCUAAUUGAAAUAAUCUAAAAAUUUUAAAACUAGAUUACUUGCAGGCUUGCUUAUUACAGUCCUUGAAUACAUGUCAUUUAUUGGUAACCAAGUCAACGGAGUGCUUUCAUUGACCCGAACAUUGUCAUGUAACUAACUGCCACAUUGAAUAAUUAUUUAUCAUUUACUUCCGUUCCAUCGAUUCAUUGCGGAUCCAGCUCUUCUUGUAGACCAAUUUACACAACAAGACUGCUUUAUCAUAUUCGUAUUGUUAGAACCAGUCAACAAAAUACAGCCACCUUCAACAAUUAAACGUUUAAUUUGUAAGUGAAUUCCCUAGAGAAAAUGGCAACGGAAAUUUCAAGAACAGUACUGUUUCACUUCUUGUUUUCAGGGUUUAACAUUUACAUUCCUCGUUACUUUUGCCAUUUCCUUCGACCCUUAUUUCCUGCAUUCUUGUGCAAACAACAUCGGCAACUACACCGCAAAUAGUGCUUACGAGCGUGACCUCAAUACCAUCUUCAAACAGAUCACCUCUAUUACGAAAUCGAAUUACGGAUUUUACAGCAAGAAAGUCGGCAAAGUCAACGCCAUGGCACUUUGCAGAGCAGAUGUUAAGCUAGAUGUUUGCACUGGUUGUUUAAAUGAAACUAUAUCAAGGGUCAAGCUGGAUUGUCCUAACAACAAAGAAGCUAUCGGAUGGUCUGCGGAUUGCACGUUACGGUACUCGAACACAAACCUCUCCGAGAAGUUGGAAAUUAAUCCUCAAACCUGUCUAUAUAAUACAGGAUCUACGGCUGAUGAGUACUUUCAGCUCAGACUCGGAGAGUUGUUGAGUGACCUGCGUAAUAAAGCAGCAGCAGGGGGUGCUCUUCUUAAAUACGCAGCAGGUAACUCGUCGCUCAGGGCUUCGGAAAGAUUAUACGCUCUAGUGCAGUGCACUCCUGAUUUGUCUGAAGGAGACUGCAAUCAUUGUCUUGAUAAGGCGGCAACUGACGGGAUUCGGCGGUGUUGCCUUAAGCAGAGGGGAUGCCGGGUUCUUAGUCCUAGCUGUAACUUGAGGUUCGAAACAUAUCCCUUUGUUGAAGCCGGAGCGGAGUUUCCACCACCCCCGUCACCCUCGGGCGAUCGGCAAAAAGAAGGUACUGUUGGGAAGAAACCGAACAACCGAAACAAAGCGAAAGCAUAACCGGUGUUCUUUCUCUCCCUAUAACUCCUGUCAAAAAUUACGGCAAGCACAAUAGCACAAGAUAUGUUCUCUAGCAACCUUAAUCAACCACAAAUCAACUAAUGCAAUCACAACAAAAAUAAAUAGAGACACCGGUAUUUUACGUGGAAAACCCCUCUAAAUCAAGGGUAAAAACCACGGGACUUUAGAGUCCGAUAAAGAGCUCCACUAUCAUCAAAUGUUCGGCUACAAGAUCACAAUAUCAAGCCUACAACAAGCAUUCAACUCCGACAAGGCUAACAAUAUGUAAUCUUUAGCAAAAGAGAGAAAAAUGAGAGAACAUCACCAAAAACGUAGCUGCUGAAAAAUGGGUAUUUCCGACGCUACAAGACUCGGAUGAAAAAUCCGACCGUACAAAGUCAAGAACACCUUAUCGCCUAGCUGCUGUCCAAAAAUCAGCUCAAUCGAACCACGGAUGGACCUUCGAUCGAAGAGUUGAUCACUGCUGCACCAAGCUUGAAAAACUGAUUUUUCUAUUCUCUCUUUUUCUCCAACGAGCUUCAAUUUCACUCUCUUUCUCUCUGGAUGUAAUUGAGAAUUUUGCUCUCAAUUAAGAAUGCUGCCCACUCCCACGUUAAAAGGCCAAAAAAUUGGCUUUUGACAAAACCAAAAAGAAGGCAAAACAUUGUGGCAGAAAAUAUGGGUUUUUCCACAUAGUGGGACCCACUCCUAACAAAUCUCCCCCUCCAACUAUGUGGGGAAUGCCUCCAUGCCGAAGGUCAAACAACAUGCUUCAAACUUUCCUCUUGGUAAGGCCUUCGUCAACAUAUCAGCACCAUUAUCAUUAGUGUGUAUCUUCUCAAGCUCUAACAGCUUAGCUUCAAGAACAUCUCGUAUCCAAUGGUACCUCACAUCAAUAUGCUUAGAUCUAGCAUGAAAAGUUGAGUUCUUACCAAGAUGAAUAGCACUCUGGCUAUCAUAGUACAGGACAUACUUCUCCUGAGUAAAACCAAGCUCAUGCACAAACUUCUUCAUCCAAAGCAUCUCCUUACACGCUUCGGUUGCUGCAAUGAACUCUGAUUCGGUGGUGGACAAUGCAACACACUUUUGCAGUCUCGAUUGCCAUGCCACAGCUCCCCCUGCAUAAGUGAUUAAGUAACCUGAAGUAGAUCUCCUCGAAUCAAUGUCUCCGGCCAUGUCUGAAUCUGUAUACCCAACAAGAACAGGUUUUUCAUUGCCGAAACAAAGUUUCAUGUUGGAAGUGCCACGAAGAUAUCUCAUAAUCCACUUCACUGCAUUCCAAUGCGCUCUGCCUGGAUUAGAAAGAAACCGACUAACUGUACCAACGGCAUAAGCCAAGUCUGGUCUCGUGCAAACCAUUGCGUACAUCAAACUACCCACGGCUGAAGAGUAAGGAAUUUUCUGCAUCUCUUCCUUCUCCUUUUCUGUGGAAGGACUAUGCUUAACACUCAAUCUAAAGUGCAUAGCAAAGGGAGUAUUCACCGCUUUAGCUUUGUCCAUACUAAACCUUUGAAGUACUUUCUCAAUGUACCUCUCUUGUGAUAACCAUAAUUUCUUGGCCUUUCUAUCACGUGUCAGUCUUAUGCCAAGAAUUUGCUUUGCUGGCCCCAAAUCCUUCAUUGCAAAGGAUUUACUCAACUCUUGUUUCAACUUCUCAAUUCUAGAAGCAUUCUGACCAACAAUAAGCAUAUCAUCAACAUAGAGCAAAAGAAUAAUAAAAUCAUCACCAGAGAAUCUCUUAACAAACACACAAUGAUCAGAAGUAGUCUUCUUGUAGCCUUGCUCCCCCAUAACAGACUCAAACUUCUUGUACCAUUGCCUUGGAGCUUGCUUCAAACCAUACAAGCUCUUCUUCAAUCUGCACACAUAGUCCUCUUUCCCUUGUGCAACAAAACCCUCUGGCUGCUCCAUGUAAAGCUCUUCUUCCAAGUCACCAUGAAGAAAAGCAGUUUUCACAUCCAUUUGUUCAACCUCUAGGUCAUAACAAGUUGCCAAACUCAGUAUAGUUCUGAUAGAGGACAUCUUCACAACCGGAGAAAAUAUUUCUUCAAAAUCAACCUCUUUUUUCUGAGUAUAACCCUUGACGACCAAUCUAGCUUUGUAUCGUGGAGAUGAAGACUUCUCUUCUUGCUUCAACCUGUAUACCCACCGAUUAUUCAAAGCUCUUUUGCCCUUAGGCAGUUUCACCAAUUCAAAAGUAUGGUUCUCAUGCAAGGAUUGAAGUUCGUCUUUCAUCGCUUCAACCCACUGAUCUUUGCAUUCACUCUCCAUAGCCUCUUCAUAACAUUCAGGUUCUCCCCCGUCAGUCAAAAGAAUAUAUUCAUCAGGAGAAUACCUGACAGAAGAUCGUCGAUCUCUAGAAGACCUUCGAAGUGGAACUGUUGGUGGAGCUAUAGGUGCUUGUUGUUGAUCAUUCACAACAUCAUCCAUGGGAGUAUCAAAGUCACCUAUAGUCUGAUGGUCACCACUAACAUCAUCAUGCACAUCAUCCUGGAUAGGAUCUGGUGAAGAGUCUAGGGGAACCGGAUUCACAUCGAUCAAGUCACCACUACCUUGUGAAUCCACUUUCUCCGUCUUAUCAAUGUCAUCAAUGGUCUGAUCCUCAAUGAAGACAACAUCUCUGCUUCUCACGAGUUUCUUCUGAACUGGAUCAUAGAGUCUAUAACCAAACUCACCGUCUAGACCAUAACCAAUAAAAAUGCAUUGUCGAGCCUUGGCAUCCAACUUGGAUCUUUCAUCCUUUGGAACAUGAACAAAUGCUUUACAACCGAACACACGUAGGUGAUCAUAUGACACGUCUUUACCAAACCAAACUCUAUCUGGCACAUCACCUUUCAAAGGAACACUAGGAGACAGAUUUAUCACAUGUGUCACUGUAUUCAAAGCUUCAGCCCAAAACGAUCUUGGUAACUUUGCAUCUGACAACAAACAUCUGACUCUCUCAAUCAAUGUUCGGUUCAUUCUUUCAGCUAACCCAUUUAACUGUGGAGUCUUUGGUGGUGUUCUCUGAUGUCUGAUUCCCUAUCGCAGACAAUACUCAUGAAACGACCCUGUGUACUCGCCACCAUUAUCAGUACGAAUGCACUUCAACUUCUUCCCAGUUUCCCUUUCAACUGAUGCUUGAAACUGUUUAAACACCUCAAAGACUUGAUUUUUAGACUUCAAAGUGUAAACCCAUAGCUUUCUUGAACAAUCAUCAACGAAAGUCACAAAGUAAAGUGCACCACCAUGUGAUCUUACUUUUAUCGGACCACAAACAUCUGAAUGGACCAACUCUAGCAACUCUGAUUUCCUAUGAGGAGGAUGGCUUCUAAAUGAAACUCUUCUCUGCUUUCCUACUAGACAAUGAGCACAAUUCUUCAGUGUAGCAUUCUUUAAACCCGAAAGUUGAUUCUUCUUCGCUAAACAGCUAAGCCCCUUCUCACUCAUGUGACUGAGUCGUUUAUGCCACAACUCAAUUGAGCUGUCAUUCAGUGUCACAUUCACCGUCUCUCGAGAAGUCAAAGCUUGCAUCAAGUACAAAUUUGAGCUCUUCUUUCCUCGAGCCACAACCAAGGAGCCUUUAGUCAACUUCCACUGCCCUUCACUGAAGGUGUUACAGAAUCCCUCAUCAUCAAGCUUUCCUGCAGAAAUCAAAUUCAAACGGACAUCCGGUGCAUGUCUGACAUCCUUGAGAGUUAACUUUGUUCCAUUGUUACUCACCAAGCUAACAUCUCUCAUACCAAUAACCGAAACCAAACCAUCAUUACCCAUCUUCAAUACCCCAAAAUCACCAGGAGUAUAAGAUGUGAAGAAUUCCUUCCUCGACGUGACAUGAAGUGAUGCACCAGUAUCAAUCACCCAACUAGUCUCGUCGCAUGCUAGGUUGACCAAAUUCUCAUCACAAAUAACUAACAGAUCUUCACGAGUAACAGUAGCAACACGCUCGGAUUUUUCAUCGUCAUUCCGAUCGUGUUUAUCACCACCACCUUUGUUCUCUUUCUUCCACUUGAAGCAAUAUUUCUUGAUAUGACCUUUCUUACCACAAUGAUGACACUCAAGAUUCUUGUAUCUCGAUCUUGACUUGCUUCGGCUUUUAUCUCUACCCUUUCCAUCUUUGUCUCUGUUUCUUCCCCUGUUCUCGAUAACCAACACCUCGGACUGUGAUGUAGAGCCCUGAGAUCUUCUAACCUCUUCAUUCAACACACCACUCUUAGCCAAAUCCAAAGUAAUAAUACCCUGUGAGGCAGAAUUAAUGAGUGAGACUCGAAAGGUCUCCCAAGAGUCUGGUAGAGUAGCAAGCAACCAAAGUCCUAAAAUCUCGUCAUCAAAUUUGACACCCAUACCAAGCAACUGAUUCAUCAUACUCUGAAAUUCACUAACAUGGUCAGCUAUAGACAUUCCUUCUUUAUAUUUCAGCGCCAUCAUUUUCUUCAGCAAAAAUAACUUGUUAUUGCCCGACCUUGAAGCAUACAAGCUUUCAAGCUUCUCCCACAAUGUUCGAGCAUGUGUCUCCUGAUCAAUGUGGUUGUAAACAUUUUCUUCAACAAAUUGCCGAAUAAAGCCACACACUUGUUGAUGCUCAAAUUCCCAUUCUUCAUCACUUUUCGAAUCGGGUUUUUGAGUAGUAAAGACCGGAAGAUGCAAAGCCUUCAUAAACAACAAGUCCUUCAUUUUAUUCCGCCAAAGUUGUUAAUUUGUGCCAUUCAACAUAAUCAUCUUGCUCGUAUUAAUUUCCAUAAUUAUCUGACACAAUAACCAAGCUCUGGUACCAGUUUGUUAGGAAGAAACUGAACAACCGAAACAAAGCGAAAGCACAACCGGUGUUCUUUCUCUCCCUAUAACUCCUGUCAAAAAUUAUGGCAAGCACAAUAGCACAAGAUAUGUUCUCUAGCAACCUUAAUCAACCACAAAUCAACUAAUGCAACCACAACAAAAAUAAAUAGAGACACCGGUAUUUUACGUGGAAAACCCCUCUAAAUCAAGGGUAAAAACCACGGGACUUUAGAGUUCGAUAAAGAGCUCCACUAUCAUCAAAUGUUCGGCUACAAGAUCACAAUAUCAAGCCUACAACAAGCAUUCAACUCCGACAAGGCUAACAAUAUGUAAUCUUUAGCAAAAGAGAGAAAAAUGAGAGAACAUCACCAAAAACGUAGCUGCUGAAAAAUGGGUAUUUCCGACGCUACAAGACUCGGAUGAAAAAUCCGACCGUACAAAGUCAAGAACACCUUAUCGCCUAGCUGCUGUCCAAAAAUCAACUCAAUCGAACCACGGAUGGACCUUCGAUCGAAGAGUUGAUCACUGCUGCACCAAGCUUGAAAAACUGAUUUUUCUAUUCUCUUUUUCUCCAACGAGCUUCAAUUUCACUCUCUUUCUCUCUGGAUGUAAUUGAGAAUUUUUCUCUCAAUUAAGAAUGCUGCCCACUCCCACGUUAAAAGGCCAAAAAAUUGGCUUUUGACAAAACCAAAAAGAAGGCAAAACAUUGUGGUAGAAAAUAUGGGUUUUUCCACAUAGUGGGACCCACUCCUAACAGGUAUGACAAUUUUCCUUCCACUGUCACUUCUUCCAACCACCUGUUAGCACAGCUUCACUUUGGAGGCACUAUAUUAGUCUAUCACUCUUGUUGAAUCGAGAAAAUUUGAUUCUGCCCUUAUUUAAUUAGAAGAGGAACCAAACAAAUCAAAAAGGACUCCAGUACUUGUUGCAAGUUUAUCAGUGAU